UGAACGCUGGCGGCGUGCUUAACACAUGCACGUCGACCGGAAAGGCCCAAGCUUGCUUGGGUACUCGAGUGGCGAACGGGUGAGUAACACGUGGGUGAUCUGCCCUGCACUUCGGGAUAAGCCUGGGAAACUGGGUCUAAUACCGGAUAGGACCACUUCUUGGAUGUUGUGGUGGAAAGUUUUUUCGGUGUGGGAUGAGCUCGCGGCCUAUCAGCUUGUUGGUGGGGUAAUGGCCUACCAAGGCGUCGACGGGUAGCCGGCCUGAGAGGGUGUACGGCCACAUUGGGACUGAGAUACGGCCCAGACUCCUACGGGAGGCAGCAGUGGGGAAUAUUGCACAAUGGGCGCAAGCCUGAUGCAGCGACGCCGCGUGGGGGAUGACGGACUUCGGGUUGUAAACUCCUUUCGCUAGGGACGAAGCGCUUUGUGACGGUACCUGGAGAAGAAGCACCGGCUAACUACGUG
rnacentral:rRNA from 1 species